UUUCUCUUAGCAUAUAAUUUAGUGUGUCAAAUUUAGAGUUUGAAGAAGCGGGAACGCAGAGAAUAA
rnacentral:tRNA from 1 species